rfam:Triticum aestivum genome assembly, contig: Triticum_aestivum_CS42_TGACv1_scaffold_032469_1BL
GUGCUACUCCCUCCGUCCGAAAAAACUUGUCAUCAAAAUGGACAAAAAGGAAUGUAUCUAGAACUAAAAUACAUCUAGAUACAUCCUCUUUUAUUCAUUUUGAUGACAAGUAUUUCCGGACGGAGUACAUACAUA